AGUAUGGCUUGAAGUUGAAGAUAGACCAACUGUGUAGUGAUAGGGUCCACUUCCUGGACAUGCGGAUAGAAAAGAGAGGGGGAAGGAUUGAAACAUCAGUGUAUCGUAAACCUACUUAUGAAGUGGUCUUGAUACCGAGAGGUCCAACGACCGGAUGGCUUAUAAGAAGUCGGCAUUCCGGGCUUUAUACCGUAGAGCGUUAUUGUAUCGUACUACGGAGAAUGAUCUAAAGGAGGAGUUAGGUUAUAUUGAGAAUGUAGGGAGGAAGCACGGAUAUACAGCAGGAUAUAUAUAAUAAAGUUAAGAACAGCUUAGUGCAACAGGAUAGAGAGGGCCAGAGGGAAGGUGAUUUCAUGUCGGUGCUGCACCAUUUGGCCAGACUGAAUGUUGUUAAAGAAAUAGCUCGGAAAAAUAAGAGAAAGGUAGUGUGUAGGAGGAAUCCGACCCUUUUUGGUGUUUUGAGAACUGAGAAGGAUAAAAAAGAACAAGAAGAAAAAAGAGGGAUCUAUAAAAUCCCGUUGGUGGAUAAUAACACGGAUGAAAGCCUAGCAUAUGUUGGGGUGACA
rnacentral:lncRNA from 1 species